rnacentral:rRNA from 1 species
GACGAACGCUGGCGGCGUGCUUAACACAUGCAAGUCGAACGGAAAGGCCCUGCUUUUGUGGGGUGCUCGAGUGGCGAACGGGUGAGUAACACGUGAGUAACCUGCCCUUGACUUUGGGAUAACUUCAGGAAACUGGGGCUAAUACCGGAUAGGAGCUCCUGCUGCAUGGUGGGGGUUGGAAAGUUUCGGCGGUUGGGGAUGGACUCGCGGCUUAUCAGCUUGUUGGUGGGGUAGUGGCUUACCAAGGCUUUGACGGGCAGCCGGCCUGAGAGGGUGACCGGCCACAUUGGGACUGAGAUACGGCCCGGACUCCUACGGGAGGCAGCAGUGGGGAAUAUUGCACAAUGGGCGGAGGCCUGAUGCAGCAACGCCGCGUGCGGGAUGACGGCCUUCGGGUUGUAAACCGCUUUCGCCUGUGACGAGGCGUGAGUGACGGUAAUGGGUAAAGAAGCACCGGCUAACUACGUG